GCUUCAGAUCUACAUGCAUAAGAAAGGACAUACAGAGAAGAAGGAAGGCCACCAUCUGUGGUCCGGCUACAUCCUGAAGUCAAUCAGGCUGGUGCAGGUCCAAACUGGCUGCUUAGGAUCAGCUCAGGUGGCCAAGAACAUGGUGUACAGUUCAGAGAGCCUCUCAAUGCGUUGCUUUUAAGUUGAAGACGGGGCCAGCCCAGGGUAUCAGCAACCUCGGCCCCUGCUCCGUGCACCAUUGCAGGCUGGAGCUAUGACCUUUCCCCAAAACCACCUGGGCUUCUCACACAUAGAAACAGGGUGACCUCCUAGAUGGGUAGACACGCUGCCCUCCAGCUGAGGGUUGGGGUGAUGAGAUGGGCUGAACUCUGUUCCCCCAAAUUUGUAUGUUGGAGUUGAACCCAGGACCUCAGAACGUGAGUGUAGUUGGAGACAGGGUGAUUAAAGAGGUGAGUAAGGUAAAAUAAGGUCAUUAUGGUGGGCCCUGAUUCAAUAGGACUGCUGUCCUGGGAAGAAGAGAUUAGAUACAUACAGAGGGACCACCAUGUGAGCGUGCAGGGAGCAGACGCCAUCGGCAAGGCGAGGGGAGGCCUCAGAAGGAACCAGCCCUGCCGACAGCCUCGUCUUGGACAUCCAGCCUCCAGAGAUGUGAGAUGAUACAGCUCUGCUGUUUAAGUUGCCAGGUCUGUGGCACAUUAUUACCGCGGCCUCAGCUGACCCGCACAGAUGGUCUCUCGGUGAAACUGCCUCCCCGUCUGCCUUCUGUGCGUGCUGGCAGGCCCAGCACAGCUGUCCAGGGAUGCCGCCGGAAGCAGCCGCAGGCCCCUACAGGGCCAUCCUCCGGUCCCUAUCCUGCCCUUUCCUUGACAUCCCCAAUUCUCCAGCGGUGCUGAUUGGAGCAGCGUCAGAAUCCUCUGGAGGGCUCUGCUGCCCCCACGCCCCAAUUUUCUUAUGUAAUGGCUUUGUCUGGGGCUGGUACUUGUUUUGUCAACAGGAUCCCAGGGGAUGUUGAUGGUGCUGGUCUGGGGACCACGCUUUUGACAACCACUGCUUACAGCAGGACAAAUCAUGUGCAAAU
rnacentral:lncRNA from 1 species